GCUGCUGCUGCUGCUGCUGC
rnacentral:misc_RNA from 1 species